rnacentral:rRNA from 1 species
GUCCUUUUGAAAUUGAUUUAAGGUUUAACCUGCCCACUGAAAUUUUUUGAAGGGCCGCAGUAAUUUGACUGUGCAAAGGUAGCAUAAUCAUUAGUUUUUUAAUUAAAAGCUUGUAUGAAGGGUUGGACGAGAUAAAUUCUGUCUCUAUUUAAUUAAAUUUAGAAUUUAAUUUUUAAGUUAAAAAGCUUAAAUUUUUUUAAAAGACGAGAAGACCCUAUAGAUCUUUAUAUUAGAAAUAUUAAUUUUAAUUAGGAAUAUUUUAUAUUUUAUUAUUAAUAAUAUUUUAUUGGGGUAAUAAAAAGAUUUAAUUAAUUCUUUUUUUAUUUAAACAUUAAUAAAUGAUUAUAUGAUCCAUUUUUAUUGAUUAAAAGAUUAAGUUACCUUAGGGAUAACAGCGUAAUUUUUUUAGAGAGUUCAUAUCGAUAAAAAAGUUUGCGACCUCGAUGUUGGAUUAAAAAUUAUCUUAGGUGUAGAAUUUUAAGAUUUUGGUCUGUUCGACCAUUAAAUUUUUACAUGAUCUGAGUUCAGACCGGCGUAAGCCAGGUCGGUUUCUAUCUUUAAUAAAAUUUUAUAUUUUAGUACGAAAGGACCAAUUAUAAAAUAUAUUUAUAUUUAAUUAUUUUGAAUAU